GACGAACCGUGCGAACGUUAUUCGGAAUCACUGGGCUUAAAGCGCGUGUAGGCGGGCCGCCCCGUCGGCUGCUGAAAUCCCCCGGCUCAACCGGGGAACGGGCACCGAUACGAGCGGCCUGGAGGGGGGUAGGGGGGUCUGGAACUUCCGGUGGAGCGGUGAAAUGCGUAGAGAUCGGAAAGAACACCAACGGCGAAAGCACUCUGCUGGGCCGACACUGACACUGAGAGACGAAAGCUAGGGGAGCGAAUGGG
rnacentral:rRNA from 1 species